CUCCCAGGCAGAGUCACCAGAAAGAGGAACAGAUGAGGGCGGUGGAACCCGGAACAGCUUGCCCUCCCCCUCCCCUGAAGGCACAAGAGGAUGGCAGACUUCUGGAUCAAGGAACUGGGCACUGGAGGGUGAGGGAUGCGACGUGCAGACGGAGGAGGGAAAGUCCCCAGACUUUCCGCCUGGACCCCAGGGAGACCCCGAAGGACGGACUGUGAUGGGAAGAAGGAGGAUUUGAAAAUCCGAGCAUCUGAAUUCGGAGGUUCUGGCCGAGGAUAGAAGCCUCUGUUUCCGCAUCCGAGAAAUGGCAAUGUCUACACAGCCAUCCUAGGGUUGCACAGCGGCCACCACUGGCACCGACUGAUGUCAGCCCCUUUUCCCUCGAGGACGGCGGUGAGGCCAGAGUCCCCAGAUUUAGUAUUAUAAGUGGAUCAAAAAGAAGCCACAGGGCCUCUGGCUGGCCCAGUCAGUAGAGCAUGCGACUCUUGAUUUCGGGGUUGUGAGUUUGAGCCCCACGAUGGGUGGAGAGAUUACUUUAAAAAAAAAAAAAGAUGCCAGAGUAACUCCUUCACUUCUCAAAUCCAUACCCCUUGCAGUGUGACUUUGCAACUCCUCCCAUCAAAGUUUAUCAGGAUGCUUGUGGCUGCGAGUAACAGACACCCCAGUUAAACAGUGGCUUAACCAACAGAGAGUUAAAGAAAGGCUCAGGUAACUGGAUACCCAGCGGGAGAAUGAGCCUGUGACUAGUGGUGUCAUCAUGGACCCUGAUUCUUUCCAUCCCUCAGAUCUGCUAUCUGCAGCAACAGCUUCAUCCCAAGGCUGCUUCCUUGAGGGGUCAAGGGAUGUAAAGUAUCCAUAAUUUUUCCUUUAGACCAGGGGUUCUCUACCUUGGCAUCAUGGACAUUUUGGGCUGAAUAAUUGUUGCAGAGGGCUGUCCUUUGCACUGUAGGUUGUUCAACACUUCCAUGGCUUCUCUCUACUACAUGCCAGAGCUCUUCUCCAUUGGGACAACCAAAAAUUUCUCUAGACAUUGCAAAAAGUCUCAGGGUGGGGAGGCAGGCAAAGUUGCCCGCAGCUGAGAACCAGGUGUGUUUACUGGUGAUCUAAGGCUCACAUGUCCACACCUGAACCAAUUAUUGGGGCAGAGGGAGUAGAUACUCUGAUUUAGUUAAUUAAGAUUUGUACUUGAAGCUGGAGAUGGAGUAGGCAGCCCCCAGAGUCUGUGGCCAUGGGGGAGGGGUGGGAUCCUCACACAAAACUCUGGCUCUUAACUGGAAGGUAGUAAAUGAUGCUUGGGAGAUAGCUAGUCAUGUCUAUGAAUCUGGCUUUUGAUUAUGUUUUCUUGGAUCCAUUUCUCCUUCUACAUUCUAUUCCUAUGUAUCUACGGGUUAUUCUUUAAAGAUAUGCACUGAUUUAAAUUUGUGGAUUUCUAAUUAUGUGUAUUCUUUUUAAGCUUAUUUAUUUUGAGAGAGAGAGCAGGGGUGAGG